CCAAUAGCGUAUAUUAAAGUUGUUGCAGUUAAAAAGCUCGUAGUUGAAUUUCGGGAUUUGUCAGUUGGUCGGGCUUCACUGUCCGUACUGACUUGAUGGAUUCCUACCUUCUGAAUAACCAGCAUGCUAUUAAGUUAGUGCGUUGGGGAAGCAGAUCUAUUACCUUGAAAAAAUUAGAGUGCUUAAAGCAGGCUAGUGCUUGAAUAGAUUAGCAUGGAAUAAUAAAAUAGGACGGCAUGGUUCUAUUUUGUUGGUUUCUAGGAUCACCGUAAUGAUUAAUAGGGAUAGUUGGGGGCAUUAGUAUUCAAUUGUCAGAGGUGAAAUUCUUGGAUUUAUUGAAGACUAACUUCUGCGAAAGCAUUUGCCAAGGAUGUUUUCAUUAAUCAAGAACGAAAGUUAGGGGAUCGAAGACGAUCAGAUACCGUCGUAGUCUUAACCAUAAACUAUGCCGACUAGGAAUCGGACGAAGUUAAUUUUAUAAUGACUCGUUCGGCACCUUACG
rnacentral:rRNA from 1 species